AGAACGAACGCUGGCGGCAUGCCUAACACAUGCAAGUCGAACGAGACCUUCGGGUCUAGUGGCGCACGGGUGCGUAACGCGUGGGAAUCUGCCCUUAGGUACGGAAUAACAGUGAGGAAUUACUGCUAAUACCGUAUGAUGUCUUCGGACCAAAGAUUUAUCGCCUAGGGAUGAGCCCGCGUUGGAUUAGCUAGUUGGUGGGGUAAAGGCCUACCAAGGCGACGAUCCAUAGCUGGUCUGAGAGGAUGAUCAGCCACACUGGGACUGAGACACGGCCCAGACUCCUACGGGAGGCAGCAGUGGGGAAUAUUGGACAAUGGGCGAAAGCCUGAUCCAGCAAUGCCGCGUGAGUGAAGAAGGCCUUAGGGUUGUAAAGCUCUUUUACCCGGGAAGAUAAUGACUGUACCGGGAGAAUAAGCCCCGGCUAACUCCGCGCCAGCAGCCGC
rnacentral:rRNA from 1 species